AGUAAUAUGUCUGAUUUAAGUAAUAAAUUGUAAAUUUAUUUAAAGAAUAAUUUUCUUAUUACUA
rnacentral:tRNA from 1 species